UACGUAGGGGGCAAGCGUUGUCCGGAUUUAUUGGGCGUAAAGAGCGUGUAGGCGGCCAGAUAGGUCCGUUGUGAAAACUCGAGGCUCAACCUCGAGACGCCGAUGGAAACCAUCUGGCUAGAGUCCGGAAGAGGAGAGUGGAAUUCCCGGUGUAGCGGUGAAAUGCGCAGAUAUCGGGAAGAACACCCGUGGCUAAGGCGGCUCUCUAGUACGGUACUGACGCUGAGACGCGAAAGCGUGGGGAGCGAACAGG
rnacentral:rRNA from 1 species